rnacentral:rRNA from 1 species
UACGUAGGGUGCAAGCGUUGUCCGGAAUUAUUGGGCGUAAAGAGCUCGUAGGCGGUCUGUCGCGUCGAAUGUGAAAAUCCGGGGCUCAACUCCGGACCUGCAUUCGAUACGGGCAGACUAGAGUUCGGUAGGGGAGACUGGAAUUCCUGGUGUAGCGGUGAAAUGCGCAGAUAUCAGGAGGAACACCGGUGGCGAAGGCGGGUCUCUGGGCCGUAACUGACGCUGAGGAGCGAAAGCGUGGGGAGCGAACAGG